rnacentral:rRNA from 1 species
ACGCUGGCGGCGUGCCUAACACAUGCAAGUCGAACGGAGAUUAUUGAUGAAGCUUGCGAUUUAAUAAUCUUAGUGGCGGACGGGUGAGUAACGCGUGGGUAACCUGCCCAUAAGAGGGGGAUAACAGCUGGAAACGGCUGCUAAUACCGCAUACGCUUUCCGGGACACAAGUGCCGGAAAGGAAAGAUGGCCUCUACAUGUAAGCUAUCACUUAUGGAUGGACCCGCGUCUGAUUAGCUAGUUGGUGGGGUAGAAGCCUACCAAGGCAACGAUCAGUAGCCGGCCUGAGAGGGUGGACGGCCACACUGGGACUGAGACACGGUCCAGACUCCUACGGGAGGCAGCAGUGGGGAAUUUUGGACAAUGGGGGCAACCCUGAUCCAGCCAUGCCGCGUGAGUGAAGAAGGCCUUCGGGUUGUAAAGCUCUUUCGGCCGGGAAGAAAUCGCAUGGGCUAAUACCCUGUGCGGAUGACGGUACCGGCAUAAGAAGCACCGGCUAACUACGUG